AGAGUUGAUCCUGGCUCAGAACGACGCUGGCGGCAGGCUUAACACAUGCAAGUCGAACGCCCCGCAAGGGGAGUGGCAGACGGGUGAGUAACGCGUGGGAAUCUACCCUGAACUGCGGGAUAGCUCCGGGAAACUGGAAUUAAUACCGCAUGUGCCCUGAGGGGCAAAGAUUUAUCGGUUCAGGAUGAGCCCGCGUCCGAUUAGCUAGUUGUGGGUAAAGGCCUACCAAGGCGACGAUCGGUAGCUGGUCUAAGAGGAUGAUCAGCCACAUUGGGACUGAGACACGGCCCAAACUCCUACGGGAGGCAGCAGUGGGGAAUAUUGGACAAUGGGCGCAAGCCUGAUCCAGCCAUGCCGCGUGAGUGAUGAAGGCCCUAGGGUUGUAAAGCUCUUUCACCGGGGACGAUAAUGACGGUACCCGGAGAAGAAGCCCCGGCUAACUUCGUG
rnacentral:rRNA from 1 species